ACCUGCCUAUAAGACUGGGAUAACUUCGGGAAACCGGAGCUAAUACCGGAUACGUUCUUUUCUCGCAUGAGAGAAGAUGGAAAGACGGUUCUGCUGUCACUUAUAGAUGGGCCCGCGGCGCAUUAGCUAGUUGGUGAGGUAAUGGCUCACCAAGGCGACGAUGCGUAGCCGACCUGAGAGGGUGAUCGGCCACACUGGGACUGAGACACGGCCCAGACUCCUACGGGAGGCAGCAGUAGGGAAUCUUCCGCAAUGGACGAAAGUCUGACGGAGCAACGCCGCGUGAACGAAGAAGGCCUUCGGGUCGUAAAGUUCUGUUGUUAGGGAAGAACAAGUACCAGAGUAACUGCUGGUACCUUGACGGUACCUAACCAGAAAGCCACGGCUAACUACGUGCCAGCAGCCGCGGUAAUAUGUAGGUGGCAAGCGUUGUCCGGAAUUAUUGGGCGUAAAGCGCGCGCAGGUGGUUCCUUAAGUCUGAUGUGAAAGCCCACGGCUCAACCGUGGAGGGUCAUUGGAAACUGGGGAACUUGAGUGCAGAAGAGGAAAGUGGAAUUCCAAGUGUAGCGGUGAAAUGCGUAGAGAUUUGGAGGAACACCAGUGGCGAAAGCGACUUUCUGGUCUGUAACUGACACUGAGGCGCGAAAGCGUGGGGAGCAAACAAGGAUUAGAUACCCUGGUAGUCCACGCCGUAAACGAUGAGUGCUAAGUGUUAGAGGGUUUUCCGCCCUUUAGUGCUGCAGCUAACGCAUUAAAGCACUCCGCCCUGGGAA
rnacentral:rRNA from 1 species